GGAGUUAGCCGGUGCUUCUUCUGUGAGUGAUGUCCUUCCUGCCGGCUAUUAACCCGCAGGCCUUCUUCCUCACUGAAAGUGCUUUACAACCCGAAGGCCUUCUUCACACACGCGGCAUGGCUGGAUCAGGGUUGCCCCCAUUGUCCAAUAUUCCCCACUGCUGCCUCCCGUAGGAGUCUGGGCCGUGUCUCAGUCCCAGUGUGGCUGAUCAUCCUCUCAGACCAGCUACGGAUCGUCGCCUUGGUGAGCCGUUACCUCACCAACCAGCUAAUCCGACAUAGGCUCAUCCGAUAGCGCGAGGCCCGAAGGUCCCCCGCUUUCCCCCGUAGGGCGUAUGCGGUAUUAGCCUGGGUUUCCCCAGGUUAUCCCCCACUACCGGGCAGAUUCCUAUGCAUUACUCACCCGUCCGCCGCUCGCCACCAGGGAGCAAGCUCCCCGUGCUGCCGCUCGACUUGCAUGUGUUAGGCCUGCCGCCAGCGUUCAAUCUGAGCCAUANANACACUCANACGNGCGGCGGCGCGACGACGGCGANAG
rnacentral:rRNA from 1 species